AUCUGGGACGAAUAGCUCAGUAAAACUGCGAUGAUUUAGUCUGGCUGUGUAGAUAACUACGUGAAAAUGUAGCUAAGGGAAGGCAGAAUAAGACGCAGGACUAUCAGUUAGUUGGUAGUGUAAUGGACUACCAAGACAGUGACGGUUGACGGGAAAUUAGGGUUUUGUACCGGAGAGGGAGCCUGAGAGAUUGCUCCCACGUCCAAGGACGGCAGCAGGCGCGAAAAUUGCCCACUCUUUGCAGGAGGCAGUUAUGAGACGUGAAGAUGAGUAUCUUGUAAAGAGGGAUAGGAGAAUUGGAGGGCAAGUUUGGUGCCAGCAGCCGCGGUAAUACCGACUCCAAGAGUGUGUAUGAGAGAUGCUGCAGUUAAAAAGUCCGUAGUCAUAGAAGGGCAAAGAGAGAUGCGAGGUCUCAC
rnacentral:rRNA from 1 species